rnacentral:rRNA from 1 species
UACAGAGGUCCCAAGCGUUACUCGGAAUUACUGGGCGUAAAGCGUGCGUAGGUGGUUUGUUAAGUCUGAUGUGAAAGCCCUGGGCUCAACCUGGGAAUUGCAUUGGAUACUGGCAGGCUAGAGUGCGGUAGAGGAUGGCGGAAUUCCCGGUGUAGCAGUGAAAUGCGUAGAGAUCGGGAGGAACAUCUGUGGCGAAGGCGGCCAUCUGGACCAGCACUGACACUGAGGCACGAAAGCGUGGGGAGCAAACAGG